AUAUCACACUCUUAAAAUACAAAUUGACUUUAGAAACCAAUAAUACUCAAACUAAAAGCCAAAUAUCUAAUGUUGAAUUGACUUUACAAAUUUACUUUAGAAGUCAAACUGAUUUUAAAACUGAAUAAAAGUUAAAACGAUACCAAAAAAAAUCUAAUGUUGGCUUUGCCAUUGUCAUCUACCCCAUCAAUCUCUGCUAAGCAUUUAAAACAAAAGCACACCCAAACAUAACUCUAAAUGUUGGCCUGACCUUUAUAUUUAAUCAAGUAGCUCUUCUUGAAUAGCUACCAACUGUCUUAUAAGCCAGAGCAGAGAUGAUAGAUCUA